CGCGGGGUUCUUAGGGGAGAUGUUUUGAAUUUAUUGUUUGUAAAAAUGCAGACAUGUGAGAGAGGGACGAGAAGACCCUAUAGAUCUUAAAAAAGUUUUUAAUUAAAUUUUGAUUGGAAAUUUUUUUUAUUUGGGGAAAAUCCUGAAAUGUAUUAAAACUUCGGUUAAUAAAAAAAUUUAAUAAUUAAUUUUUGAUCCAUUUGUAGAGUGAAAAAAUGAAAAAGUUACCUUAGGGAUAACAGCG
rnacentral:rRNA from 1 species